rnacentral:rRNA from 1 species
GGUUAAGCGAACAAGCGUACACGGUGGAUGCCCUGGCAGUCAGAGGCGAUGAAGGACGUGCUAAUCUGCGAAAAGCGCCGGUAAGGUGAUAUGAACCGUUAUAACCGGCGAUGUCCGAAUGGGGAAACCCGGUGCACUUCGGUGCAUCAUCGUUAGCUGAAUACAUAGGCUAACGAGGCGAACCGGGGGAACUGAAACAUCUAAGUACCCCGAGGAAAAGAAAUCAACCGAGAUUCCCCCAGUAGCGGCGAGCGAACGGGGAACAGCCCAGAGCCUGAAUCAGCUUGUGUGUCAGUGGAACGGUCUGGAAAGGCCGGCGAUACAGGGUGACAGCCCCGUACACGAAGGCACACAGGCUGUGAGCUCGAUGAGUAGGGCGGGACACGUGAUAUCCUGUCUGAAGAUGGGGGGACCAUCCUCCAAGGCUAAAUACUCCUGACUGACCGAUAGUGAACCAGUACCGUGAGGGAAAGGCGAAAAGAACCCCGGCGAGGGGAGUGAAACAGAACCUGAAACCGUGUACGUACAAGCAGUGGGAGCCUUCGUAAGAGGGUGACUGCGUACCUUUUGUAUAAUGGGUCAGCGACUUAUAUUCUGUAGCAAGGUUAACCGUAUAGGGGAGCCGAAGGGAAACCGAGUCUUAACCGGGCGUUAAGUUGCAGGGUAUAGACCCGAAACCCGGUGAUCUAGCCAUGGGCAGGUUGAAGGUUGGGUAACACUAACUGGAGGACCGAACCGACUAAUGUUGAAAAAUUAGCGGAUGACCUGUGGCUGGGGGUGAAAGGCCAAUCAAACCGGGAGAUAGCUGGUUCUCCCCGAAAGCUAUUUAGGUAGCGCCUCGUGAACUCAUCUCCGGGGGUAGAGCACUGUUUCGGCUAGGGGGCCAUCCCGGCUUACCAACCCGAUGCAAACUGCGAAUACCGGAGAAUGUUAUCACGGGAGACACACGGCGGGUGCUAACGUCCGUCGUGAAGAGGGAAACAACCCAGACCGCCAGCUAAGGUCCCAAAGUCAUGGUUAAGUGGGAAACGAUGUGGGAAGGCCCAGACAGCCAGGAUGUUGGCUUAGAAGCAGCAGCCUCAUUUAAAGAAAGCGUAAUAGCUCACUGGUCGAGUCGGCCUGCGCGGAAGAUGUAACGGGGCUAAACCAUGCACCGAAGCUGCGGCAGCGACACUCUGUGUUGUUGGGUAGGGGAGCGUUCUGUAAGCCUGCGAAGGUGUGCUGUGAGGCAUGCUGGAGGUAUCAGAAGUGCGAAUGCUGACAUAAGUAACGAUAAAGCGGGUGAAAAGCCCGCUCGCCGGAAGACCAAGGGUUCCUGUCCAACGUUAAUCGGGGCAGGGUGAGUCGACCCCUAAGGCGAGGCCGAAAGGCGUAGUCGAUGGGAAACAGGUUAAUAUUCCUGUACUUGGUGUUACUGCGAAGGGGGGACGGAGAAGGCUAUGUCGGCCGGGCGACGGUUGUCCCGGUUUAAGCGUGUAGGCUGACUUUCCAGGCAAAUCCGGAAAGUUAAGGCUGAGGCGUGAUGACGAGGCACCACGGUGCUGAAGUGACAAAUGCCCUGCUUCCAGGAAAAGCCUCUAAGCAUCAGGUAACAUCAAAUCGUACCCCAAACCGACACAGGUGGUCAGGUAGAGAAUACCAAGGCGCUUGAGAGAACUCGGGUGAAGGAACUAGGCAAAAUGGUGCCGUAACUUCGGGAGAAGGCACGCUGACAUGUAGGUGAAGCCCCUGCGGGUGGAGCUGAAGUCAGUCGAAGAUACCAGCUGGCUGCAACUGUUUAUUAAAAACACAGCACUGUGCAAACACGAAAGUGGACGUAUACGGUGUGACGCCUGCCCGGUGCCGGAAGGUUAAUUGAUGGGGUUAUCGCAAGAGAAGCUCCUGAUCGAAGCCCCGGUAAACGGCGGCCGUAACUAUAACGGUCCUAAGGUAGCGAAAUUCCUUGUCGGGUAAGUUCCGACCUGCACGAAUGGCGUAAUGAUGGCCAGGCUGUCUCCACCCGAGACUCAGUGAAAUUGAACUCGCUGUGAAGAUGCAGUGUACCCGCGGCAAGACGGAAAGACCCCGUGAACCUUUACUACAGCUUGACACUGAACAUUGAGCCUUGAUGUGUAGGAUAGGUGGGAGGCUUUGAAGCGUGGACGCCAGUCUGCGUGGAGCCGACCUUGAAAUACCACCCUUUAAUGUUUGAUGUUCUAACCUGGCGCCGUAAUCCGGCGUGGGGACAGUGUCUGGUGGGUAGUUUGACUGGGGCGGUCUCCUCCCAAAGUGUAACGGAGGAGCACGAAGGUCAGCUAAUCCUGGUCGGACAUCAGGAGGUUAGUGCAAUGGCAUAAGCUGGCUUGACUGCGAGAGUGACGGCUCGAGCAGGUGCGAAAGCAGGUCAUAGUGAUCCGGUGGUUCUGUAUGGAAGGGCCAUCGCUCAACGGAUAAAAGGUACUCCGGGGAUAACAGGCUGAUACCGCCCAAGAGUUCAUAUCGACGGCGGUGUUUGGCACCUCGAUGUCGGCUCAUCACAUCCUGGGGCUGAAGUAGGUCCCAAGGGUAUGGCUGUUCGCCAUUUAAAGUGGUACGCGAGCUGGGUUUAGAACGUCGUGAGACAGUUCGGUCCCUAUCUGCCGUGGGCGCUGGAGAAUUGAGGGGGGCUGCUCCCAGUACGAGAGGACCGGAGUGGACGCAUCACUGGUGUUCGGGUUGUCAUGCCAAUGGCACUGCCCGGUAGCUAAAUGCGGAAGAGAUAAGUGCUGAAAGCAUCUAAGCACGAAACUUGCCCCGAGAUGAGUUCUCCCUGAGACUAUAAGUCUCCUGAAGGAACGUUGAAGACGACGACGUUGAUAGGCCGGGUGUGUAAGCGCAGCGAUGCGUUGAGCUAACCGGUACUAAUGAACCGUGAGGCUUAACCUU